CGCGCAAUUAGGUGACCAAACCUCUCCUUGACAGAACUUCUAGACAUUGUAAAUAUUGUAAUUUAAUAAUAUGAAUAACUUUGUCGUCUCAAUUAUUGAUUUAAUAAUAUAACAUAUAAUACAGAUGAUACUGUGACAAUAAUCGAAUCAAUAAUAUGAGAGAUAUGAUGCAGCAAUUACUGUAGCAAUAAUUGAGUAUA
rnacentral:lncRNA from 1 species